GACGAACGCUUGCGGCGUGCUUAACACAUGCAAGUCGAACGGAAAGGCCCUGCUUUUGUGGGGUGCUCGAGUGGCGAACGGGUGAGUAACACGUGAGUAACCCGCCCUUGACUUUGGGAUAACUUCAGGAAACUGGGGCUAAUACCGGAUAGGAGCUCCUGCUGCAUGGUGGGGGUUGGAAAGUUUCGGCGGUUGGGGAUGGACUCGCGGCUUAUCAGCUUGUUGGUGGGGUAGUGGCUUACCAAGGCUUUGACGGGUAGCCGGCCUGAGAGGGUGACCGGCCACAUUGGGACUGAGAUACGGCCCAGACUCCUACGGGAGGCAGCAGUGGGGAAUAUUGCACAAUGGGCGGAAGCCUGAUGCAGCAACGCCGCGUGCGGGAUGACGGCCUUCGGGUUGUAAGCCGCUUUCGCCUGUGACGAAGCGUGAGUGACGGUAAUGGGUAAAGAAGCACCGGCUAACUACGUGCCAGCAGCCGCGGUGAUACGUAGGGUGCGAGCGUUGUCCGGAUUUAUUGGGCGUAAAGGGCUCGUAGGUGGUUGAUCGCGUCGGAAGUGUAAUCUUGGGGCUUAACCCUGAGCGUGCUUUCGAUACGGGUUGACUUGAGGAAGGUAGGGGAGAAUGGAAUUCCUGGUGGAGCGGUGGAAUGCGCAGAUAUCAGGAGGAACACCAGUGGCGAAGGCGGUUCUCUGGGCCUUUCCUGACGCUGAGGAGCGAAAGCGUGGGGAGCGAACAGGCUUAGAUACCCUGGUAGUCCACGCUGUAAACGGUGGGUACUAGGUGUGGGGUCCAUUCCACGGGUUCCGUGCCGUAGCUAACGCUUUAAGUACCCCGCCUGGGGAGUACGGCCGCAAGGCUAAAACUCAAAGGAAUUGACGGGACCCCGCACAAGCGGCGGAGCAUGCGGAUUAAUUCGAUGCAACGCGUAGAACCUUACCUGGGUUUGACAUGGAUCGGGAGUGCUCAGAGAUGGGUGUGCCUCUUUUGGGGUCGGUUCACAGGUGGUGCAUGCCUGUCGUCAGCUCGUGUCGUGAGAUGUUGGGUUAAGUCCCGCAACGAGCGCAACCCUUGUUCACUGUUGCCAGCACGUUAUGGUGGGGACUCAGUGGAGACCGCCGGGGUCAACUCGGAGGAAGGUGGGGAUGACGUCAAGUCCUCAUGCCCCUUAUGUCCAGGGCUUCACGCAUGCUACAAUGGCUGGUACAGAGAGUGGCGAGCCUGUGAGGGUGAGCGAAUCUCGGAAAGCCGGUCUCAGUUCGGAUUGGGGUCUGCAACUCGACCUCAUGAAGUCGGAGUCGCUAGUAAUCGCAGAGCAGCAACGCUGCGGUGAAUACGUUCCCGGGGC
rnacentral:rRNA from 1 species